ACACGUGCGUCUUGUUGACAGUAGCUAGUUACGUGUGCGAGAGUGAGUCAGUGAACCGUGUGAAGACAAAAAUCACGCACUUCAUCUUUCUUGCCAAUUUAAGAUUCCAGCAGCGAGGAGCUUCAAUGACCAGCUAAUAACAUCGCCCUUUUGUGACAAUUGAUGAUGAGUAAAUUUUUCUUCCACUGUCCAAAAGUAUACCCGUGGUGGUUAUCGGUGGUUGUUGGAGGUGGUCGUAGGUCGACGAGGAG